AUUGAACGCUGGCGGAAUGCUUUACACAUGCAAGUCGAACGGCAGCACGGACUUCGGUCUGGUGGCGAGUGGCGAACGGGUGAGUAAUGUAUCGGAACGUGCCCAGUCGUGGGGGAUAACGUAGUGAAAAUUACGCUAAUACCGCAUACGAUCUAUGGAUGAAAGCGGGGGAUCGCAAGACCUCGCGCGAUUGGAGCGGCCGAUAUCAGAUUAGGUAGUUGGUGGGGUAAAGGCCCACCAAGCCAACGAUCUGUAGCUGGUCUGAGAGGACGACCAGCCCCACUGGAACUGAGACACGGUCCAGACUCCUACGGGAGGCAGCAGUGGGGAAUUUUGGACAAUGGGCGAAAGCCUGAUCCAGCCAUUCCGCGUGAAGGAUGAAGGCCCUCGGGUUGUAAACUGCUUUUGUACAGAACGAAAAGGUUUCUACUAAUACUAGGAGCUCAUGACGGUACUGUAAGAAUAAGCAUCGGCUAACUACGUGCCAGCAGCCGCCGUAA
rnacentral:rRNA from 1 species